GUCCUCACUUCAGCAGAACACAUACUAAAAUUGGAAUGAUACAGAGAAGAUUAGCAUGACUCCU
rnacentral:snRNA from 2 species